UUCCUGUCAUGCAUUAUUUUAGGGAUUAAACUUGAAAGCUUAAGUCAAAGUAACAUUCUGAUGUUUCAGGAGCUUCUGAUGGAUGCCAAGAUGGUAACAAGGUAUCUGGUCAGCUGCAUAGAUAUGAGCAUCUGAGUAGAAUGGCAGCAAUUGACGAGUCAGAAAGCCUUUCUGAUAUCGAUGAUGUUGAGGUUGACAAAUAUCUGCACAGUAAGGAAGAGAUGCAUUA